GACAGAGGGUGCAAACGUUGUUCGGAAUUACUGGGCGUAAAGGGCGCGUAGGCGGCCUUCUAAGUCGAACGUGAAAUCCCUGGGCUCAACCCAGGAACUGCGUCCGAGACUGGGAGGCUAGAAUCCGGGGAGAGGGAUGCGGAAUUCCAGGUGAUAGCGGUGAAAUGCGUAGAUAUCUGGAGGAACACCGGUGGCGAAGGCGGCAUCCUGGACCGAGAUUGACGCUGAGGGCGCGAAAAGCCAGGGGGAGCAAACGGG
rnacentral:rRNA from 1 species